rnacentral:lncRNA from 1 species
UCCAGGACGAUAAAGGCGAAUGGAUUCUGGGUUUUUCUCGAAACAUUGGGGUCGGAACCGCUCUGCAAUCUGAACUCUUGAGGUAUUUUUGAUGGUUUGUCAAUUACUUGGAAUGGUGGUUAUUGACAAGUGAUCCUCGAAACAGAUUGUAAGGAAGCAGUGGAUUGAAUCAACAGCGGUACGGACUUUCUUCCUUGUUUGGAGCUGGUCAAGGAUUUACAACAUUUAUGCAAGCGCCAUUGGAGCAUCCAUAUUCAACAUAUUCCGAGAGGAGUUAAUAGAGUGGCCAACUUUAUAGCUAAAC